UGGGUUGUGGCUCAGUGGUAGAGUGCUCACCUGGCAUACAUGAGGUACUGAGUUCGAUCCUCAGCACCACAU
rfam:Ictidomys tridecemlineatus contig035268, whole genome shotgun sequence.